rnacentral:rRNA from 1 species
CCCUUAGAUGUCCUGGGCUGCACGCGCGCUACACUGGAAGUUACGGAUUGAGAUACUACCUUGUCCGAAAUGGUCCGGGUAAUCACCUAAAAGCUUGUCAUAAUUGGAAUGGAUUAUUGUAACUAGUAAUCCUGAACGAGGAAUUCCGAGUAAGUCCCAGUCAACAGCUGGUACUGAUUACGUCCCUGCCCUUUGUACACACCGCCCGUCGCUACUACUGAUUGGACGUUUAAGCAAGAUUUUUAAACACUGACAGUGUGUAGUUCACGCUAUACUACAGUGAGAAGAAGAAGAUCGAGCUUACUUGUCUAGAGGAAGUAAAAGUCGUAACA